UCCCUGGUGGUCCAGUGGUUAGGACUUGGCACUUAAACUGCUAGGACCAGGUUCAAUCCCUGAUCAGGGAA